rnacentral:misc_RNA from 1 species
AGAGAGUAACAUGAAUGAUCUGGUCUCCGAGUACCAACAAUACCAAGACGCAACAGCAGAUGACGAAGGUUAUGACUAUGAGGAUGAAGAGGACAUCCCUGAGGAGGUUUAAGUGAUCUACUGUUAAUGUCAGGCUUUAUGUUUGUUGUGUUUUUUUCUCUUUGUACCUGAAUAUCUUGUUUGGGAGUUUGGAUUAUUAUUGAAUGGAUAUGUUGACUGGGAACAUGUGAUCCGUUAGUUUAGGCAACCAGGUACUAUUUGUGGGUGAAUUCAUAUUUCUGUUUUGACUGAUUAACAUUCUGUUUAGUUCAACGUUAGCGAUCAAUAAUUAAUGGUUGGUUAUCAUCUCUAAGGCUGUGUUUGAUAUAGCGAAAUGCAACAAUGUAUUAAACAUUAUAUUACUCUAUUUGGAAACUCAAAUAUGGAAUUUCAAUGAGCAUUAUAAUCUU